UUUUGAAAAAUUUGUAUUAUAUUUUCCUUAAAAUCUCACAAUUUUCCCUUCAUGCACGCACUUAUAGAUUUCCAAACUGAAUGACGGCGAUGUUGUACAAAGUACAAAGCCACACACGCACCAUGCAGCAAUGCAGGGUACACUCACAUAUUUGCAAUUAUUUCCAUGGAGCCUGCUUAUAUUUAUAAGGCAUACGUACCUGUACACAAUAAUGUGCUAGUGUGUUUCCCCCACAUUCAGAACUUACCUAUACGAUGGGCCCAAUGACCAGUUUCAGAGGCAAAAGAAGUCCAUUUUUGAACUAAGCAUCAUCAGAGUAAAAACGGUGUUUUAUGCCGAUAUCCUGGUUCUAUAUUCGCUUUUACGUGAUAUAUUUCACCGAUUCCUUUUUUUUAGAUAAUAGAGUUUAAAUCAGGAAAACUUGCUGAUUUCAUUCAGUGGGACAUUCCCUCAAUACUUAUUGUAACAUUUUAUUUUCGUAAUGUUUCAAAAAAGUAAUCGUGAAAAACGGGGUUUCAACGGUGAAAAGCGAACAUAGCACCAGCCAUAUGAAUUUGGAAAUCCCAACAACAAAAUAUUGGAUAUAGGUGGCAACUCUGUGUUUAAAAAUAAUUUGGUAAAGUUGUUGAUUGUUAUUAAACCAAAUUUUGAGAAAUAAACAUUUGCGUGUAAAAAAAAGUAAACGGUUAAAGUGUAUCGUCUUUUGUAUGAAGGUGGUGGUAGUGUAUCGUCUUUUGUAUGAAGUUUUCUCGCUAUUUUCCUCGUCUUUCUUGAAGUACAACUUUGUUCGUCCGACCUCGUUCUACCUAAUGUAUUCAUCGACAGAAAGAUUAUCACAGCGUAGUUGCUACUUCCUAUACGUGGAAGUUCUUGGAUAUCCAGGAUAUGGUUUUAAACGAAAUUCUC
rnacentral:sRNA from 1 species